AUUGAACGCUGGCGGCAGGCCUAACACAUGCAAGUCGAGCGGAUGAGGGGAGCUUGCUCCUGGAUUCAGCGGCGGACGGGUGAGUAAUGCCUAGGAAUCUGCCUGGUAGUGGGGGAUAACGUCCGGAAACGGGCGCUAAUACCGCAUACGUCCUGAUGGAGAAAGUGGGGGAUCUUCGGACCUCACGCUAUCAGAUGAGCCUAGGUCGGAUUAGCUAGUUGGUGGGGUAAGGGCCUACCAAGGCGACGAUCCGUAACUGGUCUGAGAGGAUGAUCAGUCACACUGGAACUGAGACACGGUCCAGACUCCUACGGGAGGCAGCAGUGGGGAAUAUUGGACAAUGGGCGAAAGCCUGAUGCAGCCAUGCCGCGUGUGUGAAGAAGGUCUUCGGAUCGUAAAGCACUUUAAGUUGGGAGGAAGGGCAGUAAGUUAAUACCUUGCUGUUUUGACGGUACCAACAGAAUAAGCACCGGCUAACUUCGUG
rnacentral:rRNA from 1 species